AUUCUUUCGCAGAGGCAAUAUCGUAACCUAUGAGGUUCGUCCGAGGCGCGAUCAUUGCUGGUUGUAAAUUUUUAGGGGCAGUCAUGGCCUAAUGGUUAGAGAGUCGGACUCGUAACUCAAAGGUCGUGGGUUUGAGUUUCGGUACCGGCAGGGAUUUUUGGUUAAGGAAAUGAGGCUCUCUCUUCCAUCCU
rnacentral:snRNA from 1 species